CGGUAAUUCCAGCUCCAAUAGCGUAUAUUAAAGUUGUUGCAGUUAAAAAGCUCGUAGUUGAACCUGAGAGCUCAUCCGCUCGGCGGCCUUUUUCGAGGUCUGCAUGGGCGUGUCAUGGGUUCUUCUGGUCGGGGUCCUGGGUCACUUGCCCUUAACUGGGUGGGCCCAGGAGGUCGGCCCUUUUACUUUGAACAAAUUAGAGUGUUUAAAGCAGGCCACUGCCUUUGAAUACAUUAGCAUGGAAUAAUGGAAUAGGACUUGGGUUCUAUUUUGUUGGUUUCUAGGACCGAAGUAAUGAUUAAUAGGGAUAGUUGGGGGCAUUCAUAUUUCAUUGUCAGAGGUGAAAUUCUUGGAUUUAUGAAAGAUGAACUUCUGCGAAAGCAUUUGCCAAGGAUGUUUUCAUUAAUCAAGAACGAAAGUUAGGGGAUCGAAGACGAUCAGAUACCGUCGUAGUCUUAACCAUAAACUAUGCCGACUGGGGAUUGGAGGACGUUGUUUUGGACUCCUUCAGCACCCUAUGAGAAAUCAAAGUCUUUGGGUUCCGGGGGGAGUAUGGUCGCAAGGCUGAAACUUAAAGGAAUUGACGGAGGGGCACCACCAGGAGUGGAGCCUGCGGCUUAAUUUGACUCAACACGGGGAAACUUACCAGGUCCAGACAUAGGAAGGAUUGACAGAUUGAGAGCUCUUUCUUGAUUCUAUGGGUGGUGGUGCAUGUCCGAUCUUAGUUGGUGGAGUGAUUUGUCUGGUUAAUUCCGUUAACGAACGAGACCUCAGCAUAUUAAAUAGGUGACCCGAACCUUUGGGUUCGCGGAUCACAUAUUAGAGGGUCUAUUCGUGCCUAACGAAUGGAAGUUCGAGGCAAUAUCAGGUCUGUGAUGACAUUAGAUGUUCUGGACCCCACGCGCGCUACACAGGCGAAGGCAACGAGUGUUCGCCUUGACCGUAAGGUCUGGGGAAUCUGUGCAAAUUUCGUCGUGAAGGGGAUAGAUUAUUUCAAUUUUUAAUCUUCAGGCGAGGAAUUCAUAGUAAACGCGAGUACAUCAGCUCUGCGUUGAUUACGUCCCUGCCCACAGUACACACCA
rnacentral:rRNA from 1 species